rnacentral:rRNA from 1 species
UACGUAGGGUCCGAGCGUUGUCCGGAAUUAUUGGGCGUAAAGAGCUCGUAGGCGGCUUGUUGCGUCGGCUGUGAAAACCCGCGGCUUAACCGUGGGCUUGCAGCCGAUACGGGCAGGCUAGAGUUCGGUAGGGGAGACUGGAAUUCCUGGUGUAGCGGUGAAAUGCGCAGAUAUCAGGAGGAACACCGGUGGCGAAGGCAGGUCUCUGGGCCACUACUGACGCUGAGAAGCGAAAGCAUGGGGAGCGAACAGG